ACAUCUGUGAGUACUUUGAGCAAGACUCCAUAGGACUCACUUUGUAAACUCUAAAUCUAAAGUUACAUCACAUUUUUCAGACUGUGUAUCACUUUUGUCUUUUUAGAUGUCUGAAAUCUUUAAAAAUAUACCUUCACAUGAGAAGUUUAAUUUUCACAUAUGUCCAGUCUCAGAAAGACCCUCAGAAUAAGGAAGGUUAAAGAAGGAUCUAAGAGGAUUCUGAGCUCUGACCUCCCUCCUUGUCAUGUUGCCUGAGGAGAAUUGCAGACAGACCCUCAGACCUCAAAUAUUCUAAAUUUUGAAGACCCAGCUUUGGCUGAGAGGAGGCCAGCAUUGGAGUACAAGAGAAAUACAUCAUUUCCAUGGAGAAAUGAAGGAACUCUCUGAAGCCUGGAAACCCCUGGGAGGGGAGCACAUGUAUUAUUCUAGAUCAGAACUAAACAUUCCAACAUGGAGGAUGACCUCAUGUGGCCUCCCUGUCGAGAGACAUGCAACCUAGGUAUUAAGUAAGACAUUGUUGAUGGUAAGUACACACUGCUUGACAUUGAUUUCUUCCUUGCUGCAAGGAGGUGGACCCAAGGUGAAUUCAAAAUGGAACACAGGAAAUAAGAAGUAAAUAUAGUGAAAGGCAAGAAUUUGAUUUUAUGAAACUCAUCACUAAAUGAUGAAACUGAUUACUCAACAUGUGUUAUUACUAGAGCUUUUUAGUAGAGAUAUGAUACUAUCGGUGUGAGCCAAUAUAAAAUUGCAUUGUAAUAAAGAGCACUGGAUCUGAAAUGAGACUAGUUACUAUCUCAGUGUUUGUUUGAAUAUCUUUAAGAUAGGGGUAAAAACCGAAUAUGAAGUAAGGUACAUGAGAAAAAAUUGUCAUGAUAUUUAGGAGUUUUAUUAAUAAUUAUAUAAACAUUAAUGUUUCUGGGUAAGUUUCACAAAAGAGAAAAUCUUGUAAGAAGCUAAAAGGGGUAAGGAAACCUUUCCUAUAAAGGAACAAGGAUGAGAACUAUAGCAAAAUUUCAUCAGAAAUCAUGCAAGCGAGAAGAAAUUAAAGUUAAAUAUUUGAAUUGUUAAAAAAAAAACCCACCAACCUAAACUUCUGUAUCCAGUAAAAUUAACCUCCCAAAGUGAAAAAGAAAGAACUUUCUCAGACAAACAAAAACUGAGGUAAUCUAUUUUCAGUAGACUUCCACUACAACAUGUUAAAAGACUUUCUGCAGGAGAAGGAAAGUGGUAUAAUAUAGAAUCUCAAAUUUACGUAAACAAAGGAAGAAAAUCACAGUAGUCCAUAAAACAAAUCUUAAUAAAUUUAAGACAAUAGGGAUUAUAUCAAAUAUCUUUUCUGAGCAAAAUGGUAUAAAUCUAGAAAUCAACAACCAAAAAAUAAAAAUAAAUAAAUAAAUAAACCCCUCAGAAACUUUACAAAUACAUGGAAAUUGAACAACAUGGGUCUAUGCAACCAAUGGGUCAAUAAAAAUGUUAAAAGAAAGAUUAAAAUUUCUACUGAGACAAGAAUGGAAGCAGAUCAUAUCAAAACCUAUGGGACACAGCAAAAGCAGUUCUAAUACGGAAGUUUAUAGCAAAAACAUCUAUAUCAGAAAAAAAUAAAGACUUCUAAUAAACAACCUACCAAUGCACCUCAAGGAACUAGAAAAACAAGAA